rnacentral:lncRNA from 1 species
GUGCUGCAAAAGCGCCGUAUCUUGCCAAGUUUAAGGUGAAGCGAUGCGGAGUGAGUGAACUUGAAAAAGAAGGUCUGCAGUGCCGCUCAGACACAGAGGAUGAGUGCCGCAGGCAAGAGGCUGAUGGCAAGAAGAUCUGCUGGCAAGCAGCCAUCUUCAAAGUGGGGGAUGACUGCCGACAGGACAUGCUAGCCCUGCAGAUCAUCGACCUUUUCAAGAACAUCUUCCAGCUGGUUGGCCUGGACCUCUUCGUUUUUCCCUAUCGGGUAGUGGCUACUGCCCCUGGGUGUGGGGUGAUUGAGUGCAUUCCAGACUGUACCUCCCGAGACCAGCUAGGCCGCCAGACUGACUUCGGCAUGUAUGACUACUUUACACGCCAGUAUGGGGACGAGUCUACCUUGGCCUUCC